GUAACUGCGAGUGAAGCGGGACCGGCUCAAUGUGUGAAUCUGGCUUGGGGUAGUUCCCUGGUUCGAGUUGUGCACUAUGGACGUUUCGUCUGCGUUUGUAAUGGCGGUGGAAGUCCGUUGAAACACGGCACCUCAGAGGGUCACAGUCCUGUACCACCUGCCUGCACUCGCGCCAAUGACAAGCGCUCCUCGAGUCGCGUAGUUUUGUAAUGCUGCGCCAAGUGGGAGGUAGAGACCUUCUAAGGCUAAAUAUGAUGACGUGACCGAUAGCACACAAGUACCGCGAGGGAAAGGUGAAAAGCAACCAUGAAAAAUGGGUUGAAACAGUAGUGAAAGCGCUACCGGGAUAAGGGCUAUUGGGUGCUGGGGCUUCUUGGGUGUGCUUCAGUGCUACCCUUGGAGACGGCCCGCGUGGGUUGAUUGGGGUGAUAAACGCGUCGUUGGAAUUCGGCUGUCUUUGGACAGUGUUGUAGCCUUCGGUCGCCGUCCUCCUGCGACCUUUUGUAAUUGCGGGUCUUGCGACCGUUAGCCGCCCGUCUUGAAACACGGACCAAGGAGUGCACCUUGCAUGCGAGUCGAAGGGAUUCGAAACCUGGAGGCGUAGCGAACGCGACGAUGGGGAAUGUCCUUGUGGCAGACACCCGCACCCGCCUUGUGCGAGGUAGAGCAUGUACGGUGCGACCCGAAAGAUGGUGAACUAUGCCCGGGUAAGGUGAAGCCAGUGGAAACGCUGGUGGAGGCCUGUAGCGAUUCUGACGUGCAAAUCGAUCGCGUAACCUGGGUAUAGGGGCGAAAGACCUAUCGAACCGUCUAA
rnacentral:rRNA from 1 species